rnacentral:rRNA from 1 species
GUUAAGUAAUCCACCUGGGGAGUACGCCGGCAACGGUGAAACUCAAAGGAAUUGACGGGGGCCCGCACAAGCGGAGGAACAUGUGGUUUAAUUCGAUGAUACGCGAGGAACCUUACCCGGGUUUGAACGCAUUUGGACAGUCCUUGAAAGAGGAUCUCUAGUAAUAGCCAUUUGCGAGGUGCUGCAUGGUUGUCGUCAGCUCGUGCCGUGAGGUGUCGGCUUAAGUGCCAUAACGAGCGCAACCCUUAUCUUUAGUUACUAACAGGUCAAGCUGAGGACUCUAAAGAGACUGCCAGCGUAAGCUGUGAGGAAGGUGGGGAUGACGUCAAAUCAGCACGGCCCUUACAUCCGGGGCGACACACGUGUUACAAUGGUGGGGACAAAGGGCAGCUACACAGCGAUGUGAUGCAAAUCUCCAAACCCCAUCUCAGUUCGGAUCGAAGUCUGCAACCCGACUUCGUGAAGCUGGAUUCGCUAGUAAUCGCGCAUCAGCCAUGGCGCGGUGAAUAC